GAUCGUGUGGCUGAGCGGUGCUGGAUUAAGGCUCCAGUCUCUUUGGGGGCGUGGGUUCGAAUCCCACUACUUUUG
rfam:Salmo salar isolate Sally breed double haploid chromosome ssa18, whole genome shotgun sequence.